rnacentral:rRNA from 1 species
UACGUAGGUGGCAAGCGUUAUCCGGAUUUAUUGGGCGUAAAGGGAACGCAGGCGGUCUUUUAAGUCUGAUGUGAAAGCCUUCGGCUUAACCGGAGCAGUGCAUUGGAAACUGGGAGACUUGAGUGCAGAAGAGGAGAGUGGAACUCCAUGUGUAGCGGUGAUAUGCGUAGAUAUAUGGAAGAACACCAGCGGCGAAAGCGGCUCUCUGGUCUGUAACUGACGCUGAGGUUCGAAAGCGUGGGUAGCAAACAGG